GAUGAACGCUAGCGGCAGGCUUAAUACAUGCAAGUCGAGGACAGCACAGGUAGCAAUACUGGGUGGUAACCGGCAAACGGGUGCGGAACACGUACUCAACCUUCCUUUAAGUGGGGGAUAGCCCAGAGAAAUUUGGAUUUAUACCCCGUAAUAUAGUUGAAUGGCAUCAUUUGAUUAUUAUAGCUACGGCGCUUAAUGAUGGGUGUGCGGCUGAUUAGAUAGUUGGCGGGGUAACGGCCCACCAAGUCUACGAUCAGUAGCUGAUGUGAGAGCAUGAUCAGCCACACGGGCACUGAGACACGGGCCCGACUCCUACGGGAGGCAGCAGUAAGGAAUAUUGGUCAAUGGACGCAAGUCUGAACCAGCCAUGCCGCGUGAAGGAUUAAGGUCCUCUGGAUUGUAAGCUUCUUUUAUUUGGGACGAAAAAGGGCCUUUCUAGGUCAACUGACGGUACCAGAUGAAUAAGCACCGGCUAACUCCGUGCCAGCCGCCGCCGUAACAC
rnacentral:rRNA from 1 species